GCCGGGGUGGCGGAACUGGUAGACGCGCCGGAUUCAAAAUCCGGUGGGGGUAACUCCGUGCCGGUUCGAUUCCGGCCCUCGGUACCA
rnacentral:tRNA from 1 species